rnacentral:lncRNA from 1 species
UUAACUUAUCAUCAUUUUUAUCAAAUAAACUAAACAAAUUAAAUAAGAACAUUAUAAUGAAACCUAGAAUCUGGAAGUUUCCUCACUUACACCUCAAACUGACCCUAAAGUAUAGAAGCCUAGGUCCCCGUAAAUAACCAUUAAAAUAACUUGAGUUUCAUUGAUAUUUAUUAGAUACAAAACGACGAUGGAGUUCGCUGAGUACAGUUAACCCAAAU